rnacentral:rRNA from 1 species
UACGUAGGGUGCGAGCGUUAAUCGGAAUUACUGGGCGUAAGCGUGCGCAGGCGGUUCGUUGUGUCGGCGGUGAAAGCCCCGGGCUCAACCUGGGAAUGGCCGUUGAAACUGGCGAACUGGAGUGUGGCAGAGGGGGGGGUGGAAUUCCGCGUGUAGCAGUGAAAUGCGUAGAGAUGCGGAGGAACACCGAUGGCGAAGGCAGCCCCCUGGGCUGACACUGACGCUCAGGCACGAAAGCGUGGGGAGCAAACAGG